AGCAUGAUGACAGAGACGAUGGUGUGGAUUACUGGGCCAAAAGAGGAAGAGGCCGUGGUACUUUCCAGCGUGGCAGAGGGCGUUUUAACUUCAAAAAGUCAGGUAGCAGUCCGAAGUGGACACAUGACAAAUACCAAGGGGAUGGGAUUGUGGAAGAUGAAGAAGAAACGAUUGAGAAUAAUGAAGAAAAGGACAGACGCAAAGAGGAAAAGGAAUAACCCUGGAAGAAAAUUGUAGCUGAAAGAGCAGCUCUUGCACCACCCACACAACAUUUUUAAUAUGUUUUUUUGUUGUCAAAUGAAUGUAAGCAUUUUACUUAAAUUUUACUGUUGGAAAGUAGUUUAGAGGGAUUGUUUUUGGUUUAAGCCUUUAGAAAAAAAUCUUGAUAUAGUAAACUAUGUUAAUGAUCGUACAGGUAGAAAGUAAAAUAUUUGUAACAACUUUUAAGAAAUUUUACUGUUUGUUAUAUGCAGUGUAAUUCUGCUUUGUCCAAAUACAUGGUCAAGUACAACUCUAAAAGUUUUGAUUCUCCCCUAUGUCUGUGUUUUAUUCUGAAGUAAACUUACAGCUCUGCACACCUGAAAUCUUGGAGCAGCAUUUUUUAUAAAACCAAUAACUACUUCUGUGUUGCCUUUUAAUAAGAAGUGUAUUUAAGGGUAGUUAUUCAGUCAUAGUGUAAGUACAAACAGUUGUGCAAAAUGCUGAUUAUACGUUAGUUCACAAGAAUCAUAUUUCCAUAGUGUGUCAGUGAUAAACCUGGAUUCUUAUUCCACCAUGCUAGAGGGUGCAGCAAGAAUUUUAUCUUUGAGAGUGAAAUUGUCACUCUUCUUUAGUAGCCUGAGAAAUACAUAUGUAUGUAAA